ensembl:lncRNA
AUGCUGCAGUCAACUUUACUCCACCGGAGGAGAAGACACGGCCGCUUGUGCAUCAUCCCUGCAAGACCUGGAGUUUUUGCUGCUGAAGCAGUAGAGCAGAGGGCGCUGUGCAGAGCAACAAGAACAUGCCUUGACUUGUACCAGCUUGUCAAAAGGGAGUUAAGGCUUGUGGUCAGCACCAGUAACUGUAUUUGCGUUCUCAUCCAACUGACCGGCGAAAGACGAGAGCAGCAUACUAUCCACUGUAGAAUAUAUGGAUAUUGUGACAAACUGAACUGAUAGGUAAGUGUGUCACUUCUCAGGUGUGGCUGGUGUAAGAAUAGAAGUGCUUUAAGUCAAAACGUUGUUUCUAUAAUUACAGUGCACUUACAAAGUACAUCAUUUCACAAUGCAUAAAAUUAUUUUCUUAAUUCUUAAGUAUUUCGAUUUUUUUUUUUAUUAAAAACACCUUAAAUAGGAGAAACAAAACUGCAUGAGAUAAAAAGUCUUGUGUUUAAAGAAUAUGUUACAAUAUAUCUUGAAUUAUGUAGAUUUUUCUUACGCCAUAAGCAGUUUCAUUGUUUUAAGCAUGAAUCUAACAAAAUGUAAAGUUUAU